rnacentral:rRNA from 1 species
UCCAGACUCCUACGGGAGGCAGCAGUGGGGGAUAUUGCACAAUGGGGGGAACCCUGAUGCAGCGACGCCGCGUGGGUGAAGGAGCGUUUCGGCGCGUAAAGCCCUAUCGGCAGGGAAGAAGGAGGACGGUACCUGACUAAGAAGCCCCGGCUAACUACGUGCCAGCAGCCGCGGUAAUACGUAGGGGGCAAGCGUUAUCCGGAUUUACUGGGUGUAAAGGGGGCGCAGACGGCAGCGCAAGCCAGGAGUGAAAGCCCGGGGCCCAACCCCGGGACUGCUCUUGGAACUGCGCGGCUGGAGUGCAGGAGGGGCAGGCGGAAUUCCUGGUGUAGCGGUGAAAUGCGUAGAUAUCAGGAGGAACACCGGCGGCGAAGGCGGCCUGCUGGACCGUAACUGACGUUGAGGCUCGAAAGCGUGGGGAGCAAACAGGAUUAGAUACCCGAGUA